rnacentral:rRNA from 1 species
AUGUUAGCGGCGGACGGGUGAGUAACACGUGGGUAACCUACCUAUAAGACUGGGAUAACUCCGGGAAACCGGGGCUAAUACCGGAUAAUAUUUUGAACCGCAUGGUUCAAUAGUGAAAGACGGUCUCGGCUGUCACUUAUAGAUGGACCCGCGCCGUAUUAGCUAGUUGGUAAGGUAACGGCUUACCAAGGCGACGAUACGUAGCCGACCUGAGAGGGUGAUCGGCCACACUGGAACUGAGACACGGUCCAGACUCCUACGGGAGGCAGCAGUA